rnacentral:rRNA from 1 species
UGUGAAAGCCCCGGGCUCAACCUGGGAACGGCAUCCGGAACGGCCAGGCUAGAGUGCAGGAGAGGAAGGUAGAAUUCCCGGUGUAGCGGUGAAAUGCGUAGAGAUCGGGAGGAAUACCAGUGGCGAAGGCGGCCUUCUGGCCUGACACUGACACUGAGGUGCGAAAGCGUGGGUAGCAAACAGGAUUAGAUACCCUGGUAGUCCACGCCGUAAACGAUGUCGACUAGCCGUUGGGACCUUUAAGGACUUAGUGGCGCAGUUAACGCGAUAAGUCGACCGCCUGGGGAGUACGGCCGCAAGGUUAAAACUCAAAUGAAUUGACGGGGGCCCGCACAAGCGGUGGAGCAUGUGGUUUAAUUCGAUGCAACGCGAAGAACCUUACCUACCCUUGACAUCCAGAGAAGUUGGCAGAGAUGCCUUCGUGCCUUCGGGAACUCUGAGACAGGUGCUGCAUGGCUGUCGUCAGCUCGUGUUGUGAAAUGUUGGGUUAAGUCCCGUAACGAGCGCAACCCUUGUCCUUAUUUGCCAGCGAGUNAUGUCGGGAACUCUAAGGAGACUGCCGGUGACAAACCGGAGGAAGGUGGGGACGACGUCAAGUCAUCAUGGCCCUUACGGGUAGGGCUACACACGUGCUACAAUGGCCGGUACAAAGGGUUGCGAGACCGCGAGGUGGAGCGAAUCCCAGAAAGC